ACCUCGGAUCAGGUAGGGAUACCCGCUGAACUUAAGCAUAUCAAUAAGCGGAGGAAAAGAAACCAACAGGGAUUGCCCCAGUAACGGCGAGUGAAGCGGCAAGAGCUCAAAUUUGAAAGCUGGCUCCUUCGGGGUCCGCAUUGUAAUUUGCAGAGGAUGCUUCGGGAGCGGUCCCCAUCUAAGUUCCCUGGAACGGGACGUCAUAGAGGGUGAAAAUCCCGUAUGGGAUGGGGUGUCCGCGCCCGUGUGAAGCUCCUUCGACGAGUCGAGUUGUUUGGGAAUGCAGCUCUAAAUGGGUGGUAAAUUUCAUCUAAAGCUAAAUAUUGGCCGGAGACCGAUAGCGCACAAGUAGAGUGAUCGAAAGAUGAAAAGCACUUUGAAAAGAGAGUUAAAAAGCACGUGAAAUUGUUGAAAGGGAAGCGCUUGCGACCAGACUCGCUCGCGGGGUUCAGCCGGCAUUCGUGCCGGUGUACUUCCCCGCGGGCGGGCCAACGUCGGUUUGGGCGGUCGGUCAAAGGCCCUCGGAAGGUAACGCCCCCAGGGGCGUCUUAUAGCCGAGGGUGCAA
rnacentral:rRNA from 1 species